UAUUCGCACUCUCUAACUCUCUUCCCUUUUUACACGUACUCCCCAAUUCUGCGACUUCUUCACACAGUCUCCCUGUUACCGCUUUAAUCACACUCCCUAACUCUGGUCCCUCUUUACACACGCUCCCUAAUCCCACACCCUCUUUAUACAGACUCCCAAAUUCACCACCCUCUUUACACAUGCUCCCAAACACUGGCCCCUCUUUAUACACACUCUCGAACUCCAUUCCCUUUUUACACACACUCCCCAGCUCUUCUCCGUCUUCCAACAAGCUCCCUAAUUGCCCACCCUUUUUACACACAAUCCCUAAUUCUCAUCCGUCCUGAUGCACACUUCCCAAUUCAAUUUAAUUCUUUGCACAAGAUCUCUAAAUCCACUUUUUCUUCAGGUAAUCUCCAAGGACGCUAAUACGCAAACAUUCCCAAAUUCACUCGAGUUUUAACUGCACUGUCGGAGGGUCGGUAAUGAGGGAGCGCCGCACUGUCGGAGGACAUUUCAGCACUGCUAUGCUCAAGGACUGAAAGCUAGUCAGUUGUUCAACCACACAAUCACAGCAGGAUGGCCAGAAACCCACGAAGGAUUCUUAGAACAACGAAGAGAAAUGAGAGAUUGAACAGGUUUUUGACUGAGUUUUGGGACAGAAGGUUGGAAAACUGCUGGACUGUUUGAAUUUUCAUCUGUCUAGUUUGGUAUCCAUUAAAGAAUUGUUGACUGUUCUGAGAAACAAAAAAGAAGUCACUGUUUGUUAAAAGUAAGUGAAUAUUUCUCUGACCCUGCUGAAAGCCAUUUUCAGUGACUUCAGAAAUCAUGCAAGAUCUGUUCCUAUGUAUCCGUAACACAAUGCACUGUUCAAGGAUCCUAUGAAGCCUUGAUUGUCAUGGUUGAAAUGUUCAUUAAAUUGGCAAAUUACAACGCU